CUCAGCCUGGCCAAAAUCAAGCUUCAAAAGCAGACAGGAGGAGGAAGAAGCAGCACAGGGAGCCUGGAACCAGCUUUGGCUUGUGCUGGAAAGGAGGAAAGGAUGGAGGAGAACCCAAGCCCAGGGGAGGAGCAGGAAUUCAGGAUGGGCUCUGGCAAAUGUAGGACAAUCUCUGCUAUUCUUGGAAAUAUCAGGAUGACCAGCUUCUAUGUAAGAGUCUCAGAUUGUUGAUCCUUUUUGGAGAAAAGCCCCUGUAAAAAUAAUCUCAGAAAAUAUUUUAAAUAUUAAUAUUAUAAUUUAAAUAUUUCUAAUCUGGAGGAAUUUGUACCAGUGAGAAGGACUCCACUGAAAAAAAA
rnacentral:lncRNA from 1 species